GCUCCUAUAGUGUAGCGGCUAUCACUGAGGACUUUGAAUCCUCCAACCUCGGUUCGAUCCCGAGUGGGAGCU
rnacentral:tRNA from 1 species